UACAGAGGUCUCAAGCGUUGUUCGGAUUCACUGGGCGUAAAGGGCGCGUAGGCGGCCUCUGCAAGUCGACUGUGAAAUCUCCGGGCUUAACCCGGAAAGGUCAGCCGAUACUGCAGGGCUAGAGUGCAGAAGGGGCAACUGGAAUUCUCGGUGUAGCGGUGAAAUGCGUAGAUAUCGAGAGGAACACCUGCGGCGAAGGCGGGUUGCUGGGCUGACACUGACGCUGAAGCGCGAAAGCUAGGGGAGCGAACGGG
rnacentral:rRNA from 1 species